UCUGAUUCUGCCGUGUCAUAACAGAGGAAACUGCCCAUCUGUAGUCGUCAUAAGUGAAAGAAUCCUUUAAGGGUAGUUUGCUGGCAUUAGGAUGGGUCUGAAUAACUUUGUAGAAAUACGCAUAUUGUCGAGCUGUGUUUUUAUAUUGGCUAAAAACAUCGUGUAUGGCCUGGGUUGACCGAAGAUACUGCACUUCAUCUUCUUCAAAGUAGAGAGGAGUAUCAUAUUCACUGGGGAGAGUCUGGAUGUAGGGCAGCCAGAAAGAGUUGGGGUUGGCUCGCUCACAAAGAAGAUGGAAUGCCAAUGUUAUAUUGCCCAUGGCUUGAAGAAUUCGAUCUUGAGAAUACAAGGAACCUAAUACUGAGUUUUUAGCUGACUCAACUGUCAUCAACAGUUUUCUAGGUACCCACAGAAAUAACUCUUCAGCCUGAUGAUUGAAAGAUAUUCAGUAUCAGGGUUUUGUUUUGUAUUUUUCCCCCUCCAAAUUCACUUUAUCUCUCUCGUGGCUUUCAAACCAAACCCCUCCUCUUCAAAGUUAGCUAUUUCAAAACCCUCUGUGGAUGCUCCGUUUUCAGUUGCCCAUUUUAUCAGUUCAGGGAAAUAGUCAUCUCUUUUUCCAUCAAAGACAACAGACAAACCUUUUUGUUUCUUGCGAAUUUUCUCAACAAGUGAACGAAUCUGUAUAUAUUCUUCCCAUUCCUUACCAGGACCUGGGGUAGGACUGCUGCAUUUUUGCAACAACUCACUCGUCAGAUUCAACAGUUCCUUCGGAGAUACUGCUGCUGUGGCUCCUGUACCUGACUUCUGUGUUUUCACUCUGCUUUUCUUCCCCAUCUUCCAACUCCCGCGCGGAGCGGCCGCGGCCUCGGCUGCUGGGAGCGGCGCCGAACCCAGGCCGUCCCUCCGCCGGACGCCGCUGCCCGCGGGUGGGGAGGCGGAGGCCGAGCGAGG
rnacentral:lncRNA from 1 species